CCGAGGUGCAUUGCUGUUGCAUUGCACGUGUGUGGCGGGUGCAGUGCCUCAGCAGUGCAGCCCGG
rnacentral:pre_miRNA from 12 species